rnacentral:rRNA from 1 species
CUGGAGGUAUCAGAAGUGCGAAUGCUGACAUAAGUAACGAUAAAGCGGGUGAAAAGCCCGCUCGCCGGAAGACCAAGGGUUCCUGUCCAACGUUAAUCGGGGCAGGGUGAGUCGACCCCUAAGGCGAGGCCGAAAGGCGUAGUCGAUGGGAAACAGGUUAAUAUUCCUGUACUUGGUGUUACUGCGAAGGGGGGACGGAGAAGGCUAUGUUGGCCGGGCGACGGUUGUCCCGGUUUAAGCGUGUAGGCUGGUUUUCCAGGCAAAUCCGGAAAAUCAAGGCUGAGGCGUGAUGACGAGGCACUACGGUGCUGAAGCAACAAAUGCCCUGCUUCCAGGAAAAGCCUCUAAGCAUCAGGUAACAUCAAAUCGUACCCCAAACCGACACAGGUGGUCAGGUAGAGAAU